GACGAACGCUGGCGGCGUGCUUAACACAUGCAAGUCGAACGGAAAGGCCCUGCUUUUGUGGGGUGCUCGAGUGGCGAACGGGUGAGUAACACGUGAGUAACCUGCCCUUGACUUUGGGAUAACUUCAGGAAACUGGGGCUAAUACCGGAUAGGAGCUCCUGCUGCAUGGUGGGGGUUGGAAAGUUUCGGCGGUUGGGGAUGGACUCGCGUGUUAUCAGCUUGUUGGUGGGGUAGUGGCUUACCAAGGCUUUGACGGGUAGCCGGCCUGAGAGGGUGACCGGCCAGAUUGGGACUGAGAUACGGCCCAGACUCCUACGGGAGGCAGCAGUGGGGAAUAUAGCACAAUGGGCGGAAGCAUGAUGGAGCAACGACGGGUGCGGGAGGACGGCAUUCGGGUUGUAAACCGCUUUCGCCUGUGACGAAGCGUGAGUGAAGGUAAGGGGUAAAGAAGCACCGGCUAACUACGU
rnacentral:rRNA from 1 species